GAUGAACGCUGGCGGCGUGCCUAAUACAUGCAAGUAGAACGCUGAAGGAAGGAGCUUGCUCUUUCCGGAUGAGUUGCGAACGGGUGAGUAACGCGUAGGUAACCUGCCUGGUAGCGGGGGAUAACUAUUGGAAACGAUAGCUAAUACCGCAUAACAGUAGAUAUUGCAUGAUAUCUGCUUGAAAGGGGCAAUUGCUCCACUACCAGAUGGACCUGCGUUGUAUUAGCUAGUUGGUGAGGUAACGGCUCACCAAGGCGACGAUACAUAGCCGACCUGAGAGGGUGGUCGGCCACACUGGGACUGGGACACGGCCCAGACUCCUACGGGAGGCAGCAGUAGGGCAUCUUCGGCAAUGGGCGGAAGUCUGACCGAGCAACGCCGCGUGAGUGAAGAAGGUUUUCGGAUCGUAAAGCUCUGUUGUAAGAGAAGAACGAGUGUGAGAGUGGAAAGUUCACACUGUGACGGUAUCUUACCAGAAAGGGACGGCUAACUACGUG
rnacentral:rRNA from 1 species